UGUGUGUGUUUCGCGGACCGCUCCGGGUUAUGAUACUGUUGUAUUAAAAGUCUACAUUGAUUUUCAUAAAGUUCUUGGAUGUGUCAUUUUUGAACCGAUUUGCCACUACAGACUUGGCGAGCGUUGCCAGGAGUGAUGAGAGACCGGGGCGUUCCUGGCUGACGGCGGGGUCUUUUGAGCGAUCUGGCAAACACGGGUGGCCACCUAACUAUAGCAAGAGUGGUGCGUCACCAAGAUGUGUCCCCCCGCCACUGGGGAAGGAGAGAUCGGUUCCGCCUGGAGGUGUCGGGGGGAGGGCAGGGGGCGAAACGGGAGGAGAGGCCACUGCCCAGAAUCGACCCACUAGCCCCCCGAGACUCCUCCCUCCCUCUCUCACUCACUCCUCUACCUUACUUCACAUUGCCCCAGAAAGUUCGGAGACUGUCCCAGUUUGCAGUGUCGGUGGUGAUGGGUGUGGUGUGUGUUGCUUUCUUAAUGCUCCCCCUCCACUCUGAGCCCAACAACUUGGUUCCUAGCUAUGCCCAUGUGACUGUCACACAGAAAUUGGUGUGCGCCUACACACUGGGUCUGCUCACCAUGGUGUUUCUACGGUAACCAGAAGAGGAGAUGAUGUUUCCAUGGAGAUUCAGACCAAGAUCCCCCCCCCCUGUUCAUUCCCCAGACCAAUCUGAUGUGUUCUAGGGGCCAACAGUGCUGAUAUGUCCAACAGGGCUGAUAUGGUCUAGGGACCAACAGGGCUGAUAUGUCCAACAGGGCUGAUAUGGUCUAGGGACCAACAGGGCUGAUAUGUUCUAGGGACCAACAGGGCUGAUAUGUUCUAGGGACCAACAGGGCUGAUAUGUUCUAGGGACCAACAGGGCUGAUAUGUCCAACAGGGCUGAUAUGUUCUAGGGACCAACAGGGCUGAUAUGUUCUAGGGGCCAACAGGGCUGAUAUGUUCUAGGGACCAACAGGGCUGAUAUGUUCUAGGGACCAACAGGGCUGAUAUGUUCUAGGGACCAACAGGGCUGAUAUGUUCUAGGGGCCAACAGGGCUGAUAUGUUCUAGGGACCAACAGGGCUGAUAUGUUCUAGGGACCAACAGGGCUGAUAUGUUCUAGGGACCAACAGGGCUGAUAUGUUCUAGGGGCCAACAAGGCUGAUAUGUUCUAGGGGUCAACAGGGCUAAUAUGUUCUAGGGGUCAACAGGGCUGAUAUGUUCUAGGGGUCAACAGGGCUAAUAUGUUCUAGGGGUCAACAGGGCUGAAAUGUGAAACUGCAUGUAAAGCAUACAUUUAAACAAGUGGUAAACAAACAUAUGUGUACACUAACAUACAUGUAAACAAACCAACAUGUACUGUAAACAAACAUACGUGUACACUGACAUACACACAUGUAAACAAACCAACAUGUACUGUAAACAAACAUACAUGUACACUGACAUACAUAUAUGUAAACAAACCAACAUGUACUGUAAACAAACAUAUGUGUACACUAACAUACAUGUAAACAAACCAACAUGUACUGUAAACAAGCAUACAUGUACACUAACAUACAUGUAAACAAACCAACCUGUACUGUAAACAAACAUAAGUGUACACUAACAUACAUGUAAACAAACCAACAUGUACUGUAAACAAACAUACAUGUACACUGACAUACAUACAUGUAAACAAACCAACAUGUACUGUAAACAAACAUACAUGUACACUAACAUACAUGUAAACAAACCAACAUGUACUGUAAACAAACAUACAUGUACACUAACAUACAUGUAAACAAACCAACAUGUACUGUAAACAAACAUACAUGUACACUAACAUACAUGUAAACAAACCAACAUGUACUGUAAACAAACAUACAUGUACACUGACAUACAUACAUGUAAACAAACCAACAUGUACGGUAAACAAACAUACGUGUACACUGACAUACAUACAUGUAAAAAAAAAACAUGUACU
ensembl:lncRNA